rnacentral:snoRNA from 1 species
UUAAAAUGAUGUACAAAUAUAUUUGCUACUCUUGAAAUUGCAAAAUUCAUGACGAAAAUAACCACCAAGAUCGCUGAUUUU